rnacentral:rRNA from 1 species
UUUCUGCCACCUGCAGUCGAACGGCAGCGCGAGGAGCUUGCUCCUUGGCGGCGAGUGGCGGACGGGUGAGUAACGCGUAGGAAUCUGCCUAAUAGUGGGGGAUAACCCGGGGAAACUCGGGCUAAUACCGCAUAAUCUCUUCGGAGCAAAGUGGGGGACCUUCGGGCCUUACGCUAUUAGAUGAGCCUGCGUCGGAUUAGCUUGUUGGUGGGGUAAAGGCCUACCAAGGCAACGAUCCGUAGCUGGUCUGAGAGGAUGAUCAGCCACACUGGGACUGAGACACGGCCCAGACUCCUACGGGAGGCAGCAGUGGGGAAUAUUGGACAAUGGGGGAAACCCUGAUCCAGCAAUGCUGCGUGUGUGAAGAAGGCCUUCGGGUUGUAAAGCACUUUCAGCGGGGAAGAAAAAACAAAGGGUAAUAUCCUUUGGAAUUGACGUUACCCGCAGAAGAAGCACUGGCUAACUCUGUGCCAGCAGCCGCGGUAAUACAGAGAGUGCAAGCGUUAAUCGGAAUUACUGGGCGUAAAGCGCACGUAGGUGGAUACUUAAGUCGGAUGUGAAAGCCCUGGGCUUAACCUAGGAAUUGCACCCGAUACUGGGUAUCUAGAGUAUGGUAGAGGGUAGUGGAAUUUCCGGUGUAGCGGUGAAAUGCGUAGAUAUCGGAAAGAACAUCAGUGGCGAAGGCGGCUACCUGGACCAAUACUGACACUGAGGUGCGAAAGCGUGGGGAGCAAACAGGAUUAGAGACCCUGGUAGUCCACGCCGUCACGAUGAGAACUGGCUGUUGGGAGGGACUUCCUCUUAGUAGCGAAGCUAACGCGUUAAGUUCUCCGCCCUGGGGGGAGUACGGGC